AUUGAACGCUGGCGGCAUGCUUUACACAUGCAAGUCGAACGGCAGCGCGGGCUUCGGCCUGGCGGCGAGUGGCGAACGGGUGAGUAAUACAUCGGAACGUGCCCAGUAGUGGGGGAUAGCUCGGCGAAAGCCGGAUUAAUACCGCAUACGACCUGAGGGUGAAAGCGGGGGAUCUUCGGACCUCGCGCUAUUGGAGCGGCCGAUGGCAGAUUAGCUAGUUGGUGGGGUAAAGGCCUACCAAGGCGACGAUCUGUAGCUGGUCUGAGAUGACGACCAGCCACACUGGGACUGAGACACGGCCCAGACUCCUACGGGAGGCAGCAGUGGGGAAUUUUGGACAAUGGGCGAAAGCCUGAUCCAGCAAUGCCGCGUGUGUGAUGAAGGCCUUCGGGUUGUAAAGCACUUUUGGCGGGAACGAAAAGGACUGUGCCAAUACCACGGUUCGAUGACGGUACCCGCAGAAUAAGCACCGGCUAACUACGUG
rnacentral:rRNA from 1 species